GAGCCGCGGUUGCCACAUCUUGAGCUCGGACAUCCGGCUCCAGAGCAUGAGACCCUGUGGCGCUCGUCACAGCAGCCCUAGGAGGCUGGCACGGCUGUCCUCCCCAAGGCCAGUGCACUGCCCCGCCAGGCUUCCCCGCCAGCAGCACUUGGAAACCUUUACUGAGAUGACCGGCACUCAGCGGUCCUUAGCAGGGUUGAGCGGAUUUUCUGGAAUGUCUCAGACAAAGAUUUCAUUACCACCUUCUGGAAAUCGCCUGUUCAGAUGUUUUGUCCAUGUUUCUUGCUACAUAUUUAUCCUUUCUCCAAGGUGCUAGUGUCUUUUCCUCUCUAGGAUUUUAGCCUUCACGGUGUAUAUUUUGUGUUGAGCUUCAAUCAAUCUGAAAACUGAUUUGGAGGCGUGCUGUGACGCAGCUGCUUUAUUUCCCGUUACCGCAUGGCCUGUCGUCAUCUCGCCUGGCCACCAGCACGAAAGUCAAAGGGCGUUCACGUAUUUCCUUUUCUUGGAGGCCACUUCUCUAUCUUCAUCGGCUACCUGGAAAACUAGGUGAUGGGCUAGAAGCAGGAGAGGUCGUGACCUCCUUCCCAGGCUCCCUGUUGCAAGUCCGUUGCUGCAUGAGACAGAAGCCGGCCGUGCCCUUGGCCUGGCGGUCAGGGAGGGGUCAUGCUCCAUCUUCCCUGGGGUGCUCGUAAACGCAUUCAGACUGAGGCCAACCUGGUCCCAGGGAUCGGGAAACGCCGAGCUGACCUCAUUGACCGAUAGGGUCAACCCCAGACGGAAAGGGCUUCACUGCCUCUCGGCCUUGGGCUUGGCUGUGGGUCCACCGUCGGGGGACUUGGGAGGCGCACAGGGGUCAUAGGACCUCUUGGAGCCUCAUUGCCCCACGGGUCAACUGGGGCCAAAACUCGUAACAGCAGUGACAGCUCUGGGCGUUGUGUUCCGUGCUCGGGCGAGCGGGACACGUUAGCCCGGACCUGGAGGACACGUUAGCCCAGACCUGGGGUGUGCGUCGCCCGCCUUCCUUGCUUUGUGCUUUCCAUUUUCCUCACUUUUUCUUUGAUUAGAAAUUAACCAGCGCGUGGUUUAUUCAUCAGUUCAGCUGUUCUCAUGUCUCAGAGCAUUUUCUCUGUUGUCGCUACGGAGUCUUUGCUCCCCUCUGUGUGAUGGUUCACAGCACGCUUUCCCCAACUUUCUGAACAAGAUGGUGAACUCAUUUCCUGUCUUUCUUUUUUACUGACACAAACAGUCCCGUCUGUGAGUGUGCUUUGUUCGGGUCGCACAGACGCUGCCUAGUAUCUCAGGGACGAUGAUUUCCCCGAAAUUCUGUAAUUUUGCUUUAAAUGUCCCUCUGACUUAAAAAUUGAUCAGUAGGGAAUUGUAAAAUUUCUCGGGCUGUAUUUGGUUUUGUGAUUGUGGCACCCUCUAGUUUUGCUACACUAGGGUCAGAAAAUGUUUUCUAUGUUAUUUCUCCUUUUUGAAACGAACGUGGGUGUUUCCUGAUUUAUAACUUGGCCGGUUCCCGUGAAUGGUGUUAGAGCAACGGAAACAGGAGGUACUCGGGUAAAGGUGAUGCGCUCCUUUGCGCCUCUGCACUUCUGGGAAAUGCAUGUGACUGUCAAGAGCAAAUUUUCUAGCGUUUUCUGGGUGUAGUGUUUAUGUGGACUUAGUCAACGUGACCACGAUGACAUGAGCAGUGCGGGGUAUGGGACGGUGUGACAGGAAGGCUUCUCCAGUGCUCUUGAAAGAGCCAAGGGUCCCCUCUCAAUGGACUGCAAGAUGUUAGGUAAGUUUGUCAUAACCCCGGAAAACUGGUGACAGAAUAACUCAAAAAGAUACAGCCAGAAAGCCAAGAGAUUGUCUAAAAUGGGAUGCUAAGAAUAUGUUCAAGGGGAAACGGGGUAACACAACCAGACAGGACAGACUGAACCUCCUGUAAAUCACAGGCGUCUGCUGAUUUUCCUGUAUUCUCUGUCAUUUCUGCUUUUUGAAAAUUUCUUUUAUAAUAUUUAGCAUAUCAAUAUUUAUGACCAUGACAUCUUGAUCAUAAAUCAUAAUGCUCAAGGAUUCAAAGGGCCUUUGUUUUAUCUUACUUAAUGUUUUUUGGUGGAAAAAAUAGCAGUCUUCUAUUAAAACUGGGGACUGACUCUCUUUUUUGGUAUGUCUUUGUUUAUAUUUGAUUUUUUAACCUUUUUAAAUAACGGCCUUGGGUGACUGUCUUGAAGGUAGCCGCAGAACUGGAGUAGCAGCCAGGCUCCAAGAGGGCAUCCAGAGAUUCUCAUCUCUUGGUCUUCUGCCCCUCGGGUGGGCUCCCGGCUCAUUAACCGGAGCUGGUCUGCAUAACCAACAGAAGAUGGUGGUGUGUGACUCCCAACUCUAGGCUAUAAAAGCUCCUGCUGUGGGCUCGGCGUUGCUUGUUCUGAAAAGUGAGAUGCCCUGUCGGCGAGGAGACUCAAGUCGAGCUGUGGAUAGGCUCACGGGGAAAGAGCCCAUCUGGCCGGCCAUGGAAGGAGUCGUCUUGGUUGUGGAGUCUCCUGGCCCAGCUGAACCUUCGGAUGAGCCCACGCCCCCAGCCGGCACCCUGAGCAGACCGGCAUCCACCAGUCCCCCCCCCCCCCAACACCUGAGCCACCAGAACCGUGAGACACAAUACGUAGUGACUGUUGUUUUCAGCCGCUAAAUUUGGGGGUGACUGGUAGAUGUUUAAUGCAAUAAUCCAAUUUGAGAACCUUGUUUAUUUUAUUUUAGUAGUUAAUUUCUUUUACAUUCACUGUAUGACAAAUGUGUUUAUGCUAAUUACUUUGUGCUGUGACAUCUGGACGUAUCUGUCCAUGCAUGUAGAUAUAGAGUACGUGACUAUGUCUGUGUCUACCUCUCUCUCUCUCUCUCUCUCUCAAUUCCUGAUACAUGUAUGUAUAUAUUACGUGUGUGCGCGUGUUUGUGUGGAUGGAUAUGGAGCAGUUUUCUCAGGCACACAUGUAUUCAAACAGUCUUCUUCUGUGGGGUCUGUUCCUGCACACGUCUUGAAUGUUAACUAUUUUGAGAUUUAAGGUUGUGCUUGUGCUCCAGUCGUGUCCUUUAUAACCGAGCCUCCUUACAGGGCUGUGCGUCCCUCUGUCCUCAGACAGGGUCCAUGGGUUCCUUCGUGAGAGCGACGAUGACGCGGCUUCUCUCCCCUCCCCCUCCCGCUGCUCUUUCUUUCCUUCCUGCUCCUCCGGCUUUAAUCAAAAGCUACUCUUCUCAGUACCGACUACAUCUGAGUUGUUAUGGCUGCUUCUGUGCCCAAAUGUCAUCGCUCGUCUCCUCGCGGUUCUGAUGAAAAAUCAGAGUCAUUUUAGUCACAUUAGUGGACGUGCCUCCCCUUGACAGUGGCUCCUCGGGCGCCUCAUUGUUGAGGCAGAAGGCGUUCGCGUCCUGUCCUCUCGCUCACAGCCCCUCCAGCUCCCGGCUCGUUCGCUCCAACACGCUUGUUGCUGACCCUUUGUCCCGGAUUUCCUAGUUAUCUCGGGUUGAUCACAGCUCAUCCCCUAGCGCAUUCCCUAAGAAAGAGUCACAUGGAAGAUGCUCCCUGCAGCCCCUCACUUUCAAGGGAUCCGUUUCCUUUAUCCAUGAACGGGGCGCUCUGGGUGGAGAACCCUCCGUCCCGCGACUCUGCUGGUGAAGCGAUGAGGUCUGGUUCCUUCCUCUGUCUGGUCCGGAUGCCUAAGGGCUCCUCCCCCACAUCUGACCUCCGCGGGGCUCGCAGUCCUGGGGGCACUCCCUCAGCUGUCCCGCAGGGGUCUCCUGGGGCCGGGCAUUUCGAGAAGAAUGUGGGAUUUGGAAUAAACCACCCGGUUUCCAAACCCAGCUCUUUGAAACCCUGAAAGUCAUGUGGCCUCUCUGAGCCCCAUCGAUGACGUGGGUCCAGUGACAUCCCUGCCCCCACCCCCCGCCCCGCACAGAUUAGAGGCUCUGUCGGAGGAGGUACCACGAGCGAAAAUGAGCUACAAAGGGCCGGGCCGGAGCCAGAAGGUUCUGCUGCGUGGGCUCGGCCCCGGCUGUGACUCUCAGCCUCCUUCCCACCACCUGGAGUUUCCCGAGCGAGGAGGAGGCAGGAGUCUGCCCUGCGAGCCUCAUGCCGCAGGCUGGCUGCUCUGUCCCAAACAUGCCACGUCCCGGUCGUCCCUCUUAGGGGCCACCUUGCUGGCCAUCGCCAGAUUUUAGGGUCUUUCCAGGAUUUGUUCAGCUUGAGGAUGUCGCCAGCUUUGCUCCCCGUCUGCGUCCAGAUCAUCGACGCGACUCCGGCCGCUCCCAGGCCCGGCAGCUCCGGCCGCAGAAGCUUCCUCCGCUGACCUCCGCUCCUGGCUCCCACUCGGGUCGCAAUGAGCCCGCCCUUCCCGGUCACUCCCGUCACUGAGUCACAGGAAGUGUGUGGCCCGGGGUGACCGUGUCAGUGAGCAGGACGACAGGGUCUGCUCCCGCGGGGCGUGUGGAGAAGCGUGUCCGGAGCGGGUGAGGCGCCGCCGCCCGCUUCCUCAGCCUCGACCCCACAGACACUUGGGGCCACACGUGCACUCGCACAUUCGCUGGCUCCCGGGUGCCACCCUCCGCCAUGACAGCCCUACCUGUGUCCUGACGGGGCCACACGUCCCACAGGGACACGGUCACCCUGGUUUGGCCCCGAACGAUGCCGGCUCUGAGCACCGGGCUCUGCUGUGGAGCAGCCGCGGGGGGACACGGGUGCUGUCCCGUGCCACACCUCUGGGGAUCCUGAACAUUACUACGACGCCCCGAGUGUCCACACUUCCCACCAGGCCUUGAGGACGUGUCAAACAUCUUGCGAAGUUCAAGUCGCCGCCUCUGCAGCCCGGCCUGGCCUCGCCGGUGCGGACCCGUCGGAGAAGUGAGGGCCGCGGGCUGAGGGGAGACACUGGCUGUGAACUCGGCCCCACAUGCCAGGGCUGUCCUCGGCCCGGAAUGGGGCUGAAUAGACUCGGAAGCCAAGUUUUCCCCAGAAAACAUGGAGACGGCCCUGCCGAGCAUCUGGGGGUGCGCGGCUGCGGUCCAGCCUCCUUCCAGACCCGCGGCAGCCCGCUGGACUUGCAGCACGCGCUCUGGGGGCAGGCGGACGCUCAGCUCGGUGGCCUGGGGUGAGCCCCCCAAGUGCGGUCCAACCCCAGAGAGCAUGGUCAUAGGGGGAUCUUGGUCCGACCCCAGAGAGCGUGGCCGCGGGGACACCUUCCUCCUUAGACGAGUGAGUCAGAGGAGGCACAUGAAAAAGAUGUCCUGUGGCUGUCAGGUCCCACCUCAUGACGUGUGGCACACCCAAACUGGUUUUCCCAUGACCGGAUUCUUUACGAGCCAAGGUUGGCACGGAUGGCGUGGUUGACGUGGUUGACAUGGGGUCACGGGGAGCUCUGCGUUCUGCAGCGGAGCAGCCAAGCCCCCUGGGCCACGCGGGAGGCAGGAGCCCGGGGAGUGAGCAGGGGUGAGGCGAUGCGCUCCCGCUGCUCUGGCUCCCCGUGGGCCGCUGGGGCUCCAGACAUCACCCUUACGAGUCUGUUCUUGUUCAGCUGGAGGCUCUCCUGUGGGCUCGGCUCAGCACAGCCUCUUCUUCCGUGCCCUUCUCCAGAAAUUAAUAAAAUUUAUAUAUUAAAAGGAAAGAUUCCCCCCAAGCAUGUGAUCGUUAAGUGCUUGUUACUCUGUCCUCUGGGCUUACAGCUUGUUCCUUGCACCGUGUGUUUGAGGGUCCUGGACACUUAGAACAGGGCCCACGGUCGGGGGUUGAGAACGGGGUCUGUUUCCCCGUAGGGCAGCGAUCACUUGCCAGUUCCUCAGAAGACACUCGAACGUGCCUUCCUGGCCUCACGACGGAGCACUCUGCCCUCCGCUGCUCCUGGAACCAGCUUUGCCCUCUUCCUGGGUCACAGGCUAAUCCAUUCAACAAACGUGUGAUGUGUUCACUCCAGAUCCGCCAGUCUUCCUCUUGACUUGCGAGGUCUGUAGGCGCCGAUAGGUGGCCUCGGGCGUUCGGUGAAUCCACAGAGAAAGCUGAUCCCUGAGAUGGGCUCGAAGUUCUCCUCUGGGAAAUUCGGACUCGGAGUCCCCGGGGAAGGGUUACCUGCUGGACAGGAACGUGCUGAGGAGGAAGGAGGAAAACCGGGUCAUUUUCAUCCAGAGAGAUGACGCCCGUGAGGAGAGGCGGGUCACCUCCCCAGGACCACACAGCGCGUCAGAGAGAGGACCCGACGCGUGUCCUCAAAUUCAAGAGGAAUAAAUCGCUGGUGGGCGAGAAGAGUCUGCUGGAGACAGGAGAAGAGGGAAGUGGUUCUUCCAACAGCGUCGGGAGUCAGGAGCACGGGCGGGACCCGCCGAGGAGCACCGCAUGCUGUGGGCUCAGCAGUCUCGCCAUAGACGCGUGCACACACGAGCCACACGUGUCUGUGUGCAACACAUGUGCGUGUGUGUCUGUAUCUGUCAGAUACAUGCGAGUGCAUACGUGUGUAUGUGUAGACGUGGUGCAUUCAUAUAAACGUAUGCAUCUGUGUCUGCUGGGUACAUGCAUGUGCAUAUGCACACACAUGUAUCAGGCACACACGCAUAUAUGUUUGCACAUAUAUGUGUUUGCACACGUGUGUUGGGUACAUGUACUUGUGCACACAUGCGUGUGUACAUAUUUGUGUACGUGUGUGUUGGGUACAUGCAUGUGUGUAAAUGUGUGUGCACGUGUGUGUGUGUGUGUGUGCCUAUACACACAGCCCACACAAGGCUCCCUCCUGUAGCCAUAGGACCAGAUGGCUUCUGACGCCACGGACCUGCAUCCAGGUUCGCCUGUCACCCCAAAUUUCAAAUCCCUGCUGGGGAUCAGGCCUCUGCUGCUGUCUGCAGCCCACCCCUCAGCUCCGGAAACCCAGAGGGCCUUUCGCGCCUGGCACUGACCCACACAGGCCCAACGCGUUGCUGCUCAGUAAAUGCCGCUUGAACGGACGAAGGACCCAACCUGUAGCAAGACGCCCCAGGAGCAGCUUUGGUGAGUGGCGUCUUCCUUGACUAGCAGGACUCUGACCCCGACUGGUGCCCUGAGCCCACCCCACCGGUUUCCCCCUGCAGCACCCAGGGCCGCCCGACCCCCAGGCGCUCCCCAUGCAGCCUGGCCACGCCCUCCCUGUGUCCACGGGGAGGAGGAAGGCAGAGCCCGGGGUCCCGCAGAAAUGCAGUUUGAGCUCAUACGUCAUUUAAAUGAGCCGGAGUACCCAGGAACGGGGACGUCCACGCGACGUUGUCUUCUUUCAUCCGACGUCAGCAAACAUCAUCUCAGUGUCUACUCCGUAUAGUAACAACUAGUUUACAUUUUUUGGUACAAAGUCUUCAAAAUUGGGUGUCUGUUUUACAGUGAACAGCGCAUCUCGGCUGAGAUGCCAAAUUUUCAACCAUUAAAGGGAAAUACAGUUGCACCAGAACAACGAAGUUAUUUCAGAGCAGAAAUAGCUUACACCCGCCCCCCUCUUUCCAGCUGGAUUGAUUCGAAUGAAGGACAGGGGCAGCCUUGCCGGCCAGGGUCCCCGCCUGGACCUGCAAACCCGGAGCCUGAACCGCUUGUGGGCUGCCACCCGGUGGCCAUGCCUGGUAGUGCAGGGACCUGCUGGGAUCUGGGGCCUUGCAGAAGCCGGGGUCUGAUGCGGGCCUGACAUUCCAGGAACAUUCCUGGGGGAUGAGGAGGGAUGCAUAGAGUGGGAAGGUGGGGUGUCGCGUGUGUCCCCCCAGCUCCGGAUCUCGGGAGCACGGCUCUGAAUCUCGGGAUCACGGUGGGGCUCGUGGUCUAGCCAGGUUGUCCCGUAUCCUCAGGCACCUGCUUGUAGAAAUCGGCCUGCGAGGCCCCGAGAAGAGCUGGUGGCCAUCUCAGCCGGCACCCGGGGCUUCCCCCACAGGAGUGCCCUUCUCAUGCCAGAUCAGGGUGCCAUCGAGGCUGGUCCCCGUGGGGCCUCUCUUCCUGGCCGGCGGGUGACCCAUCCGGCCGUGUGCUCACGGGCGUUCAGAAAGCCAGCCCUGGUGUUUCUCCUGCUUCCUAUAAGGACCCGGUUGAUGGGAUUAGGUGCCCUCCCCCCAUCAGGCCCUCAUUUAACCUUGACCACCUCCUUAAAGGCCCCAAAUGCAGCUACACUGGGGGAUUACGGCUUAAAUGAGGUUUUAUUUUUUAUUUUUAUGUUUUUUAAAGAUUUUAUUUAUUCAUUUGAUAGACAGAGAUCACAAGUAGGCAGAGAGAGAGGAGGAAGCAGGCUCCCUGCUGAGCAGAGAGCCCGAUGUGGGGCUCGAUCCCAGGACCCUGAGAUCAUGACCUGAGCCGAAGGCAGAGGCUUAAACCACUGAGCCACUCAGGCGCCCCAUUAAAUGAGGUUUUAGAGAUACAGUUCCGUCCAUGCGAGCGGUCACUACCCCAUGCUGCGGCUAAGUGACGGAGUUAUGGCUUCUCUAGAUCACUCAGGGCCAGGAAGAGGGCCCGGCUGAGCUCCGAGGUCGGGUGGGGGCGGUCCUCAGCCUGUCUCCUCUAGACCCCACCCGCAACACCCUCAAGAGCCUCCACCUGCCUUUCUGACCCUUGUGAACUGCUCCCUGGAGAUCAAACCCAUCCCCCAGGGUCUUUACCUUGUGGGGGGCUCUCUGGGCGGUGGCUGGACAAGCAGGUGAGGAAUUCCUGGGGACGUCUGUGCUGUGGCCCCGUCUCAGGCCACAGCGCUGCAGUGUCUGGACAGCAGAGCCCAUGUGGGGCCUCCUGGGGAGUCCCUGGUUCCUUGGGAAACGGUUCCCGUCCAGUCGGACCUAUGGCCUCGUGCCCAGAAGCGCGGUCAUGUCGGCGCCGGCCGCGUGCUGUCUCUCCAGAGACUCGAGAGCCAAGCCCACCAGACAGAUCAGUGAGACCAGAAGCUUAUGAAUGUGUUGCUCAAAACCAGGGACACGACAGACCCCCGACAGCCCGCCCUAAGACAGGUGCAGCUCUUCGUCCCGAAGUCGCUGAGGGCGGCUGGAGUCUGAACUCGAAAACGACGCCAACGGACGGUCUAGUGGCGUCAGAAAACACUGUACGUGACGGGUUUUCCGUGAGGAAGUAAACGAAUGCCCCGUGGGACACUGCCGUUCGUGGUGCCCAGCUCCGCAAAUGUCCAUCCUGGAUGGACACCAGGGCUCCGCACGGACCCUCCUUAAGUAAAUCCAGUCCUCUCAAGGCUUCGGAACGAGGUGGGGGCACUGGGACGCCUGGCAGAGAAGGACCCUGUGCUCCGAGGGGCGAGAGAGAUCCACGGAAAGAGGGACAGGUUUUCCCCUUCCCGUGAGGCGGUCAGUCCUCUCUGCAAGACGACGCGUGCCGUCUGUGCGGGACCCCCGAGCUCUCGCCGCUGGGAGCCGCGAUUUCUGGCGAGGACACGGUGUCUGCUGGCGACCGGGCGGUGGCUCCGUAAAUGAGCUGGUCCCAUGGCCACAGCUGGAAUUCAUAACUACCUUCUGCUCUCCGUUCUGUGAUUCCUUUGCCCUUCGACAGCACCUGGGCUGGUCUUGGUCGUCACAGCACCCCACUGGCUCUAACUGCAGGCCACGGGGUACUAAGUGUCCCCAGAACUCCAGGUAGAUAUGGAGUCAUAAGGUAUAAAAAGAGGGAUAGACGAGCCAGCUGGAAAGCAGCAGUGGGUGUCCCUAUAUCACUAUGGGAUGGAAUAAGAGGAAAUCAGUUCUGAGAACCUGGUGGUAACAGAAGCCCAUCAAGGACAUGAAGAGGCAGUAUGAAUAAGCAAGCUUUUUUUUUUCCUUUUUGCCAGUAAGAAUGGGUAUCUGAACAAAUGUUUGAUUAUUAUGAACACAAUUAUUAUUGCAACAUACAAGGUGAAAAGAGUCCUGUUCCUCCUGGGUGGAACCUUCCUCUGGCACGUUUUACCUUACCAACCCCAACUUCUCCAAGCCUCUCGUCUGAGCACUACAGAAAUGCAGAAGAAGCAUGACACCGAGUCAAGCAAGACAGAAGAGAGGAUCAGUGAGCACCAAGGAAGAAAACCGAGGAGAGAGUACAGAGGAGGGAGGAAAGGAAAAUCUUGACGUGGCCCACCCUCAAAUCCUGGCAAAGCCUCUCAUUUUUAUUUGAAUUUUUGGAUCUUCAUUCAGCAUCACGAAGACUGGAAUUAAUACUUUUAUAUCUGAGGGGCACGUGGGUAGCUCAGUCGUUGAGCGUCUGCCUUCAGCUCAGGUCAUGAUCCUGGAGUCUGGGAUUCAGCCCUGCAUUGAGCUCCCUGCUCCACGGGGCUCCUGCUUCUCCCUCUCUGAAUCCCCCUGCCUUUCUUCCCUCUCUCGCUGUGUCUCUCUCUGUCAAAUAAAUAAACAAAUCUUAAAAAAUAAUACUUUUAUAUCUGAAAGUAUCUGAUUCAGGAUAUAAGCAACCGUUCCUAGCAUGGGUUCUGAGGAGGGACUGUCUGGAAGAACACUUCGGGGCAAACGGGCAACAUCAAUGGAUUGAGCUUCAAGAGCGCUGAUCUCUGAUGAACCUUCCUGUAAGUACCACCGCUAAAGAAGGUGUAAACAAAGCUUCUUUCUCUGAUUCUAAUGAGCACGUAGAUAAAUGGAAUGAAAUACAUAAGUCACAAAGCUUGGAUAUAAAAAUCCAGUGUUUAUGAUGUUAUGAUGAAACAUCAUGUCCUCCAAUAUGUUGAAAAUUUUCUAUAGCAAUGGAACGUGGAACUCAACACCAUUUUUUAUACUUUUGUGAUUGUUCUCAGAGCUCCUACAGAUAGGCAAAUAGAUUAAGUAAAUUCUCUCAUUUAGAACAUGGUAGAAUUAUCCAAGAUUCUACUAAGUCAGUUGAUCAUUGAGCUGCUUGCCUGGGUAGAGUUCUUCGAGGUUGCUCUCUGCUUGUCAUGAGUUUGCUUUCUUUUCUCUCUAUGGGUAUGGAGCAAUAUGGCAACAAGAUGAGUACAGAUACCCCCAAUACCUACCCCAGUGAGUUUUCUUAGGAAAUAGCAGAAAGUCAGUGCCACACCGUUGAAGUACACCAGCUAUUUCCAUCCUUCGAUUUUCCUUCUGAUUCGUCCUGAAGCCUCCAUACUCCCAGCUGGUAAGAUACUUCCUGAGGGCUCUGUCUUUGAAGGAGUAGUUUGUGCUUAGUGGAAGAUGACCUGAUUUUUUUUUUUUUUUAAGAGUGAGACACAAAAAGAGAGGGAGAGAGAGAAUGAGCAGAGGGGAGGGGCAGAGGGAGAGAGAGAGAGAAGCAGACUAGUACAGAAUACAGAGCCCAAUGAGGGGCUCGAUCUCACAACCCUGAGAUCAUGACCUGAGCUGAAACCAAGAGUUGGACACUUAACCGACUGAGCCACCUAGGUGCCUCAGAAGAUGAACCGGUUUGUUUGUUUAUUUAAGAUUGUGUUUAUUUAUUUGACAGAGAGAGAGAGAGAGAGAGAGAGAGAGAAGCAAGAGAGGGAACACAAGCAGGGGGAGCAGGAGAGGGAGAAGCAGGCUUCCUGCCAAGCAGGGAGCCUGAGGCGGGGCUCGAUUCCGGGACCCUGGGAUGACCUAUGACCUGAGCUGAAGGCAGACACUUAAUAACUGAGCCACUCAGGUGCCCCAUGAUGAACGGAUUGAGACUGAGUUAAGUGUUCUUUUUAAAUCCUACUCAGGAAACAGAGGACAGUAACAGAACUUUGAUGUAAUUAGGUUUUUAUUUUUUAUUUUAUUUUAAAAGAUUUUUUUAUUUAUUUGACAGAGAAAUCACAAGUACACAGAGAGGCAGGCAGAGAGAGAGGGGGAAGCAGGCUCCCUGCUGAGCAGAGAGCCCGAUGCGGGGCUUGAUCCCAGGACCCUGAGAUCAUGACCUGAGCCGAAGGCAGAGGCUUAACUCACUGAGCCACCCCGGUGCCCCAAUGUAAUUGGGUUUUUAAUUUGGGCUUUUAAUUUCUUAGAAAAUGUGUCUUUAGAAUUGACUAGGAAUAGAAUGUCCAUAAACAAAGAGUGAUGCUUUUUUAGAUUCAUAGUCCCUAGAUUUGUUCUAAGCUUAAGGUCCAAAAUAUUUGCUCAUGUUAGGAAAUGGCCACGUACCUAAUCUUGCAACCAUUUUCUCUUUGUGAACAUGUUGUUCAUAAAAACAAUUAUCCCAUGUUGAAAUGUCUGGCUUCCUUUUGGUAAUAAAAAUGGAUUUUAUCACUA